ACUAACUAACCUUUGUGGGGAGGAUACUUUUCUUCUAACCAGAAAAUUGGAGAAACUCCGAAUUAAGAGGAUGGAGCUGUUAUCUUCACUGGUGUUCCUCAAAAGAUACAGAAAUUCAAAGGAGUGAAGUCCAUGUGCAAAACGGUGGAAAUUGCUGCUUCAGCUCUUUGGAACCAAUUGCAUUCUCCAAUGGCACAGCGCACCUGCGGUAUACAUUUACUCAGGCCCCGUCACAGAGACGACCUCUCUCUUUGUGCCGAUACGUGUUCUCUCUCUGUGUGUAUCUUUAUCAUGUCUGUCUGCUUAUGUCUGUCUAUAGUUUUCUGGUUAGAUUUUUGUUGCUAUUUCUUUUAUACCUGAUGACGAUUGCUUGUGUUGCAAUGGAAACGUCGUAGUAUGCUAUUAUUUAAUUUAUUAUUUUAUCUUUAUACGUGACUUUACCGAAAGAACCAAAGAAUAUAAAGGCAUAGCCACAGCGAGGAAAUGCUGGAUUCAGUGUACCGACCCAGACCUGUCUAAAAUCAAUAUGAAUGUAGAAUGUAUAGAUGCACAUGGUAAUUUUCCAAGAAUGCAGAGCUCCAACUAUUAUGGGACUGAGCUGAAGUCCUCCGACAUGUAAUGUCUACAACAAUUUUGAGGACUUAACGAAACACUGUCCUCCCAUCCAUAUCGUGUUCAACUACCAUGCAUACUGGAGGUCAAAAUACUUCUCUUUUUGC